rnacentral:rRNA from 1 species
UGGGGAAUUUUGGACAAUGGGGGAAACCCUGAUCCAGCCAUCCCGCGUGUGCGAUGAAGGCCUUCGGGUUGUAAAGCACUUUUGGCAGGAAAGAAACGUCGCGGGUUAAUACCCCGCGAAACUGACGGUACCUGCAGAAUAAGCACCGGCUAACUACGUGCCAGCAGCCGCGGUAAUACGUAGGGUGCAAGCGUUAAUCGGAAUUACUGGGCGUAAAGCGUGCGCAGGCGGUUCGGAAAGAAAGAUGUGAAAUCCCAGAGCUUAACUUUGGAGCUGCAUUUUUAACUACCGGGCUAGAGUGUGUCAGAGGGAGGUGGAAUUCCGCGUGUAGCAGUGAAAUGCGUAGAUAUGCGGAGGAACACCGAUGGCGAAGGCAGCCUCCUGGGAUAACACUGACGCUCAUGCACGAAAGCGUGGGGAGCAAACAGGAUUAGAUACCCUGGUAGUCCACGCCCUAAACGAUGUCAACUAGCUGUUGGGGCCUUCGGGCCUUGGUAGCGCAGCUAACGCGUGAAGUUGACCGCCUGGGGAGUACGGUC